AAUACAUCAUAGCAAAACCUCUGAACUGCUCACUGAGAACAUUUGUUCCCUUUUGAGAAAGAUGCAAACCAUCUUUUUUGUACAGUUUAUUUCCAUUCCAAACAGAACUACCAUGGGAAAUGAAGCAAAAUCCUUGCUCCCAACACCAUUCACCAAGCCACAAGUUUCCCUAAUACGCAUCUGCCUGUCGUUCUGAGUGUUAUGCACAGGCAGAACUUCAGAGAAUGACAGUGUUGAAGCAACCUGCCAUAUAUCAUUGGCAAAAACACUAAAAACUU